rnacentral:rRNA from 1 species
GCAUAGUCACUUGUCUCUUAAUUGGAGGCUUGAAUGAAGGGUUGGACGAGAUAUAAACUUUCUUUAUURUAAUYAGUUGAAUUUGACUUUUGAGUCAAAAGGCUUAAAUAUAUUUAUAGGACGAGAAGACCCUAUAGAAUUUUAUAUUUUUAUUUUAAUAAUUUAUUUGUUUAURAUUAAAUUUUUUUWAUAAAAAUAUUUUGUUGGGGCGAUGGGAAGAUUUUUUUAACUCU